rnacentral:rRNA from 1 species
GAGUUUGUCAUGGCUCAGGAUGAACGCUAGCGGCAGGCCUAAUACAUGCAAGUCGAACGCUCAGUAGCAAUACUGGGAGUGGCGCACGGGUGCGUAACGCGUACACAAUCUACCUCUAAGCGGGGGACACCUCCUGGAAACGGGGAUUAAUACCGCAUAAUAUGCCGAAGUCGCAUGACUUUGGUAUUAAAGCAGCAAUGCACUUAGAGAUGAGUGUGCGUCCCAUUAGGUAGUUGGUGAGGUAACGGCUCACCAAGCCUAUGAUGGGUAGCCGGUCUGAGAGGAUGGUCGGCCACACGGGCACUGAGACACGGGCCCGACUCCUACGGGAGGCAGCAGUAAGGAAUAUUGGUCAAUGGUGGAAACACUGAACCAGCCAUGCCGCGUGGAGGAAUAAGGUCCUACGGAUUGUAAACUCCUUUUGACGAGGAAGAAAAUGUUAGAUUUAUCUAAUUUUGACGGUACUCGUAGAAUAAGCACCGGCUAACUCCGUG